GCAACUCACCACCAGCCUUCAUUUCUUUCGAAUCCGACUUCACCCAAAAGUCCGACAUCUACCUAAAGCCCCUAGAUUGUUCGGGAGCUAUGACACGCGCCCCUCGCCAUAACGCUCCCUUAGGGUUUGUCCAAUUCAAUUCCAAAGCCGCCGCAGAUACCUGAUGGUGGCCACCGUGGCCGAACAUAGACCUCGCCACCGACAUUCCCAUCUUCCCUAGCAAACUGGCUCUACCAAUUAAUCAAAAUAGUCCAAGGGAAACCCUCAUUAGGAUCAGUUCUUGCCUAACCAAAACCCACAUUGACCCAGUCAUUUGUAGACCUAAUUUGCUUCGAUUCUUCCACACCGAUAGUACCCAAAGCGCCCUGAACUCCCCAAUCGAUGGUUGCCUGAUUGUACCUCCGACGGAAGCUUUGCGGCGAUUACGUUUGAACUCACAGAAUCAUCUAUCAGUUGGGGACUGGUCGUAUGCGAGUAAGCAAGGCUUGGUUCACAGAACUGUAGACUACCCACUUCAGGUUUGGGUCUUUUUGUUUUAUCCAAUCCAGGUAUGUCUCUGUCUCUUCUCUAGUUUUUUGUUUGAUUGGUCUUCGACUUUACUUUUUAUUGGAGUUUAUUUGAUGUUUGCUUGGAGUUGGGAUUCUGAGCAUUUUAUUACCACUAGAAGAUUUGGGUAUGAUCACCCUGCUUCUUGAAAUCUGUAUCAUGUUGGAAUUUGGCCUAAAUUGUGUAUAAAUUGUUCGACCAAUUUAUCUUAUGAUGCCAUUCUUCUGUCAUGGUUCCUUAACUAUGAUGAAAGACUUCGUGGUACUCUUUUUAAUUUUAAAGAGUACUCUUUAACUCAAACGGGUGAAAUUGAGUUUGUGUGCAUUCACCUCACUGGGAUGAUCUCUCGUUUUGAAGAAGUGAAUAUUAAUUAUUUCAAUUGUUCUCUUGCAAACAUGAUGUGUAUUUUAUGUAUGACCAUGUCUAUAGAAAAGUUAAAUGUUAUAAAUGUUGCUAUUGGAACUAUUUUGGAGGAUGACAGCACCUCCGUAACAAAAAUGAACCCCAUCCCAUGAAAAUCUUAAGCUGGAAUUGUAGAGGUGGUGCUUGGUCAGGGUGUAAGGCACAGUCCUCUUUUUAUGCGUCAUCUAUCGACCCUGGUGUAUUCUGUUUCCUGGAUACCAGAACUACUACUAUGUUAAAUAGAAUGAAUCAUUUUCCUUAUGAUGAUGCCUUUUUUUAUGCCUGCGGUAGGACAAUCUGGCGGAAUUGCCUUAUUCUGGAAAACUAGAAUGGUAAGUGGACGUCAUUGUCCCUCAUGACAGGUUCAUACAUUGUGAAAUAACUGAUUUGACUACAAAUGACUUUUUUUUUUUUGCAACUUUUGUCUAUGCUUAUGCUCAGAAACAUAAACAAGCAAAUUUGUGGGAGGAGAUCAUUAACCUUAAACCCACAAAUAAUGAAAAAUGGCUCCUAAUUGGAGACUUUAAUAUUAUUACCUCUCUAGAUGAGAAGCUAGGAGGUAGUCAAGUUAUUACAACUUACAUGAGAAAUUUUAUUGACAUGAUAAAUAGAGCGAAUUUAUUUUCCAUUAAUGUUGUUAGUGUGCCUUAUACUUGGACAAAUUAUCAAGAUGAUGAUGAUACUAUUUUUGAACGACUAGAUAGAGCUUUGGCUAAUGUAGCUCUCUUAAAUGACUUCCCUGACCUAAAAUUGGAAAAUUUGCCAAUUGUUGGCUCAGAUCAUGGUCCUAUUUGUCUUACUUUAAAACAGAGACAUUGGAAGCCUAGAAGACCCUUCAGAUUUGAAGCUAUGUGGCUUUCACAUAAGACUUUUAAACCCAUGGUAAAGGAUGUAUGGAAUCAACAGCUAGAAAGUGAUUCUAUUCUUAACUUCAUAACUAUUACUAACCAAUUUCCUCAACAGGCGAAAACAUGGAACAAAAAUAUUUUUGGCAGUGUUUUCAGGAAACUAGAGAUCCUCAAUGAUAGAAGUAAUGAUAUUCAAAAUCAAUUAAUGGUUUCCCCUGAUUCUUUCAUCCUACAAGAACAAGACAACAAAGUCAGAGAGGAGCUUAUGCAAUGCUAUGCGGAUGAAGAAACUUUCUGGGCACAAAGAGCGAAAGCUAAUUGGCUAAGUUUGGGAGAUAGAAAUACUAAGUUCUUCCAAACACAAGUAAACAUGAGGAAAUGAGGCAACUCCAUUACGAAAUUACAAUCAGAUGUUGGAGUUUGGAUCACAGAUGAUCAAGAAAUUGAAGACCUCUUGAUCCAGGAUUUUAUGAAGAGAUUUAGUGCUACUACUACAUCUCUAAAUAACUCUGUAACAAAUGAGUUUGCUGCUAUAAUUGACCCUGGUAUUUCUGCGCAGGAUAAUACAAUGCUUCUAAAAUCUGUUGAAGACCUGGAAAUUUGGGAAGCAGUGAAAAGUAUUGGUGGGCUUAAGGCCCCUAGACCGGAUGGUUUACAUGCAUCCUUCUUCCAUAAUUGCUGGGAGGAAGUUUAAGGACACUGUGAUCCCUAUGAUCAAGGAUAUUUUUCAAGAUUCCAAAGCUGGGAGGAGCAGCUGCGGAAGCAUCAGCACCGACCCAGCUUGUCGGGACAAAUUCCCUCAAUACCCCAGGAAACCACAUUACAUGAGGACUACUUUGUAGUGGAGAAGAGAACCUGGUAUCCGAACAUUCACGCCCUAGCUAAUGUAGGAGUUUCCUCUUCUGCCCACCAUAGUUCAGAGAUAGAUGGGAAGACGUCAUCACUAGUCACUAGAGCCCCAUGAAGCAUCCAUAAUAUUCUGAGAUUGAGUUCAGUAUAUAUCCCAGAUAUGUACAAUCUUAGCAUAUAUCCAUUUGUAAUUGUUCUGCCCAAGCAAGGAAAUACAUUGAUCAGAGGGCUGAAGUGAAGGAAAUCGAUGUUGCUGCCCUUAUAUUAUCUGUUUGGUGAAAAUAAAAAAAGGCGCAUGGUUCAAAUUUUCCCAAGUUCGAAUAGGAGGACCACCACAAUUGAAGGUCAAAAGAAACCAAACACAAAGGAAACAAAUUGCUUUUAGGAUAUAUCAAUCACCAUUUAAUGCUAUUUCUUUGGAUACAUGCUACUACAUGAUUUUAUUAAAAUUUCCACCAUUGUUUUAAUAGAGGCAUUCCUACAAAAAAAAGGUAAUCGUUUAAGUUCUUCAGAUUCUAUUCUACUCCGUAAUGACAUUGACAUUUUUUUUUGUCACAUGAGAACCACAAACUUCAACAUUGCUAACUCAGGCAUCCAAAAAUAGACAACAACUUUUGCUUUCUUAAUUUGUAAAUCAUGAUGAUGACAUUGGUUGAUGUGGUUAUUUUUUUUGGAAUUAAUCUGAAAUGCCUCUAUGUGUUAUAUUGUAGAAAUCAUAUUAGGUGAUGUUGAAUAGGAUCUGUGU